rnacentral:rRNA from 1 species
CCGUAACUAUAACGGUCCUAAGGUAGCGAAAUUCCUUGUCGGGUAAGUUCCGACCCGCACGAAAGGCGCAACGAUCUGGGCACUGUCUCAACGAGAGACUCGGUGAAAUUAUAGUACCUGUGAAGAUGCAGGUUACCCGCGACAGGACGGAAAGACCCCGUGGAGCUUUACUGCAACCUGAUAUGGAAUGUUUGUACCGCUUGUACAGGAUAGGUAGGAGCCGAAGAGACGUGUGCGCUAGCAUACGAGGAGGCAAUGGUGGGAUACUACCCUGGCUGUAUGACCAUUCUAACCCGCCACGCUUAGCGCGUGGGGAGACAGUGUCAGGUGGGCAGUUUGACUGGGGCGGUCGCCUCCUAAAGAGUAACGGAGGCGCCCAAAGGUUCCCUCAGAAUGGAUGGAAAUCAUUCGCAGAGUGUAAAGGCACAAGGGAGCUUGACUGCGAGACUGACAAGUCGAGCAGGGACGAAAGUCGGGCUUAGUGAUCCGGUGGUUCCGCAUGGAAGGGCCAUCGCUCAACGGAUAAAAGCUACCCCGGGGAUAACAGGCUUAUCUCCCCCAAGAGUCCACAUCGACGGGGAGGUUUGGCACCUCGAUGUCGGCUCGUCGCAUCCUGGGGCUGUAGUCGGUCCCAAGGGUUGGGCUGUUCGCCCAUUAAAGCGGCACGCGAGCUGGGUUCAGAACGUCGUGAGACAGUUCGGUCCCUAUCCGUCGCGGGCGCAGGAAAUUUGAGAGGAGCUGUCCUUAGUACGAGAGGACCGGGAUGGACACACCGCUGGUGUACCAGUUGUUCCGCCAGGAGCAUCGCUGGGUAGCUAUGUGUGGCAGGGAUAAACGCUGAAAGCAUCUAAGCGUGAAGCCCCCCUCAAGAUGAGAUUUCCCAUUUCUUCGGAAAGUAAGAUCCCUGAAAGAUGAUCAGGUAGAUAGGUUUGGAGUGGAAGUGUAGCGAUACAUGGAGCGGACAAAUACUAAUCGAUCGAGGACUUAACCAA